CGGUCCCAGACACCAGAGCAAGCUCAAGACCCAGCAGUGGGACAGCCAGACAGACGGCACGAUGGCACUGAGCUCCCAGAUCUGGGCCGCUUGCCUCCUGCUCCUCCUCCUCCUCGCCAGCCUGACCAGUGGCUCUGUUUUCCCACAACAGGUGAGAGCCCAGUGGCCUGAGUCCUUAGCAGGGCAGCAGGGAUGGGAGAGCCAGGCCUCAGCCUAGGGCACUGGAGACACCCGAGCACUGAGCAGAGCUCAGGACGUCUCAGGAGUACUGGCAGCUGAACAGGAACCAGGACAGGCACGGUGGCUCAUGCCUGUAAUCCCAGCACUUUGGGAGGUUGAGGCAGGCAGACCACUUGAGGUCAGUUUGAGACCAGCCUGGCCAACAUGGUAAAACCCCGUCUCUACUAAAAAUACAAAAGUUAGCCAGGCUUGGUGGCAGGUGCCUGUAAUCCCAGCUACUCGGGAGACUGAGGCAGGAGAAUUGCUUGAACCCGCAAGGUGGAGGUUGCACAGUGAGCUGAGAUUGCACAACUGCACUCCAGCCUGGCAACACAGCAAGACUCCAUCUCCAAAAAAGAACAGAAAUCAAUGAAGCACCGAGUGACAGGGACUGGAAGGUCCUAAUUCCAUGGGUAUUUAUGGAACCCCUACGCUGUGUGGAGUCUUAUUCUAGACAGUGGGGACGAGGCCAUGAACAAGGUAGAUGAGAGAGGAGAUUUCUCCAUCCUGGUCAGGGAAUUCGUUAAAGACUGAUGAAAACAUGAAUAAAUAAUUGUGUCUAGUACAUUCUAUUCGUGAAUCUCAUAACGGACAGUGGUAGAGUGACCGUGACCCAUUCGCCACACAGUAGAGUCACUUUUUUGGUUUGUUUUUUAGAGACAGGGUCUUCCUCUGUUGCUGAGGCUGGAGUGCAGUGGUGCAGUCAUAGUUCACUGCAGCCUCAACCUCCUGUGCUCAAGCAAUCCUCCCACCUCAGCGUCCCAAGUAGCUGGGACAGCAGGCACACGCCACGGGUUGGGGGACCACAGGCAUGGUCAAGGGGCUGGCAGUCAAGCAAGUGUUUCAUGAGAAAGUGACAGUUGACCUUCGUCUUGGAGGGUGAGAGAUGGAGGCAGCAAAGACCUAAGGAGAGGACAAGCCAGCAUAGCCCAGGGUCAGGCUGAACAAGAGGAGAUGGUGGGACUUGGGGAUAAGGCUGAGGGGUAGGCAGUCCCUAGGUCUUGUGGGCAACCGUGCAGACACUGAUUUUUCCUUGGAAUAAAGAGGAAGCCCCCAUAAGCUUUUUUUUUUUUUCUGAGAUAGGGUCUCGCUCUGUCGUUCAGGCUGGUGUGCAGUGGCAUCAUCUGGGCUCACUGCAACCUCCGCCUCCCGGGUUCAAGCAAUUCUCCUGCCUCAGCUUCCCGAGUAGCUGGGAUUACAGGCGGCUGCCACCAUGCCCGGCUAAUUUUUGUUUUUUUAGUAGAGACAGGGUUUCACCAUGUUGGCCAGACUGGUCUUGAACUCCUGACCUCAGGUGAUUCUCCCACCUCGGCUUCCCAAAGUGCUGGGAUUACAGGCGUGAGCCACGGCGCCCAGCCUCCUGUAGGUUUUUAAAAUGGAGAAAACCACAAUCUCACUGGCCAUGUUUUAAAAAACUUAGUCUGCCAGUCAGGCACCAUGGCUCACACCUGUAAUCCCAGAGUUUUGGGAGGCCAAGGUAGGAAGAUCAGUUGAGCCCAGGAGUUCGAGACCAGCUUGGGCAACACAACCAGACCCCAUCUCUACAAAAAAUUAAAAAAUUAGCCGGGUGUGGUGGCGUGCACCUGCUGUCCCAGCUACUCGGGAAGCUGAGGCGGGAGCAUCGCUUGAGCACAGGAGGUCAAGGCUGCAGGGAGCUAUGACUGUGCCACUGCACUCUGGCCUGGGCAACAGAGGAAGACUCUGUCUAAAAAACAAACAAAAAAAGUGACUCUGCUGUGUGGCAAAUGGAUUGAGGGGCAAGAAUGCAGGGAGGUGUGUUAGGAGGCUGGCACUGGCAUCCAGGCAGGGGAAGGUGAUGUCCCAAAGAAGAGUAGCAGCUGUGGAAAGAGGAGGAGGCGGAUCUGGGAGGUUUUUUUUUUUAGGAAAAGCCGCCCAUGGGAAGGUGAGCAGAAGCAAGAAAGCAAGGCCCCUCCUAAGAGUCCAGCUGAGCUCUGGGUUUAAACCACUUGGAGAGGAGCAGGUUGCCGGGAGCCAGUCUCAGAGGUCCACUGGGCCCCCUGCCAUCCUCUACACCCCCUUCUGCUUUCACAGACGGGACAACUUGCAGAGCUGCAACCCCAGGACAGAGCUGGAGCCAGGGCCAGCUGGAUGGUGAGCGCAACAGUGAUGCCUUUCCUAGCCCCCUGCUCCCUCCUCAUGCUAAGGCCGGUUCCCUGCUCACAUUCCCUUCCUUCCCACAGCCCAUGCUCCAGAGGCGAAGGAGGCGAGACACCCACUUCCCCAUCUGCAUUUUCUGCUGCGGCUGCUGUCAUCGAUCAAAGUGUGGGAUGUGCUGCAAGACGUAGAACCUACCUGCCCUGCCCCCGUCCCCUCCCUUCCUUAUUUAUUCCUGCUGCCCCAGAACAUAGGUCUUGGAAUAAAAUGGCUGGUUCUUUUGUUUUCC
rnacentral:sRNA from 1 species